rnacentral:rRNA from 1 species
AGCGAACGCUGGCGGCAGGCCUAACACAUGCAAGUCGAACGAACCUUUCGGGGUUAGUGGCGGACGGGUGAGUAACACGUGGGAACGUGCCUUUAGGUUCGGAAUAACUCAGGGAAACUUGUGCUAAUACCGAAUGUGCCCUUCGGGGGAAAGAUUAAUCGCCUUUAGAGCGGCCCGCGUCUGUUUAGCUAGUUGUUUGAGGUAAUGGCUCACCAAGGCGACGAUCAGUAGCUGGUCUGAGAGGAUGAUCCGCCACAUUGGGACUGAGACACGGCCCAAACUCCUACGGGAGGCAGCAGUGGGGAAUCUUGCGCAAGGGGCGAAAGCCUGACGCAGCCAGGCCGCGUGAAUGAUGAAGGUCUUAGGAUUGUAAAAUUCUUUCACCGGGGACGAUAAUGACGGUACCCGGAGAAGAAGCCCCGGCUAACUUCGUG